rnacentral:rRNA from 1 species
UACAGAGGCCUCGAGCGUUAGGCGGAAUCACUGGGCUUAAAGCGCGUGUAGGUGGCGGCCUAAGUACCUUGUGAAAUCCCACGGCUCAACCGUGGAACUGCUUGGUAUACUGGGUCGCUUGAGUCAUCCAGGGGCAACUGGAACAAGCGGUGGAGCGGUGAAAUGCGUAGAUAUCGCUUGGAACGCCAAAGGUGAAAACAGGUUGCUGGGGAUGUUCUGACACUGAGACGCGAAAGCCAGGGGAGCGAACGGG